rnacentral:rRNA from 1 species
AACGAACGCUGGCGGCAUGCCUAACACAUGCAAGUCGAACGUGAUCCCUGGUUUCGGCUGGGGUGAAAGUGGCGGACGGGUGAGUAACGCGUGGGAACCUGCCCAGUGGUUGGGGAUAACUGCGGGAAACUGCGGCUAAUACCCGAUGAGCCCUGCGGGGGCAAGAUUGAUCGCCAUUGGAGGGGCCCGCGUCGGAUUAGAUAGUGGGUGGGGUAACGGUCUACCAAGCCAUCGAUCCGUAGCUGGUCUGAGAGGAUGAUCAGCCACACUGGGACUGAGAUACGGCCCAGACUCCUACGGGAGGCAGCAGUGGGGAAUAUUGGACAAUGGGGGCAACCCUGAUCCAGCAAUGCCGCGUGAGUGAAGAAGGCCUUAGGGUUGUAAAGCUCUUUCGGCGGGGACGAUGAUGACGGUACCUGCAGAAGAAGCCCCGGCUAACUCCGUGCCAGCAGCCGCGGUAACAC